rnacentral:rRNA from 1 species
AAGACCUUGCACUUUUGGAGCGGCCGAUGUCUGAUUAGCUAGUUGGUGGGGUAAUGGCCUACCAAAGCUUCGAUCAGUAGCUGGUCUGAGAGGACGGCCAGCCACACUGGGACUGAGACACGGCCCAGACUCCUACGGGAGGCAGCAGUGGGGAAUUUUGGACAAUGGGCGCAAGCCUGAUCCAGCCAUGCCGCGUGAGUGAAGAAGGCCUUCGGGUUGUAAAGCUCUUUCAGUCGGGAAGAAAAGGUUGCGACUAAUAAUCGCAAUUCAUGACGGUACCGGAAGAAGAGGCACCGGCUAACUACGUGCCAGCAGCCGCGGUAAUACGUAGGGUGCGAGCGUUAAUCGGAAUUACUGGGCGUAAAGGGUGCGCAGGCGGUUUUGUAAGUCAGAUGUGAAAUCCCCGGGCUUAACCUGGGAACU